rnacentral:rRNA from 1 species
GAUGAACGCUGGCGGCGUGCUUAACACAUGCAAGUCGAACGAGGUCCAUGGAGCUUGCUCCGGAAGACCUAGUGGCGAACGGGUGCGUAACACGUGAGAAACCUGCCCCGAUCUCUGGGAUAACAGUUGGAAACGACUGCUAAUACCGGAUGCCGUCACACCGCUUCAUGGCGGAGUGCCGAAAGAUUUAUCGGAUCGGGAGGGUCUCGCGGCCUAGCAGCUAGUUGGAGAGGUAACGGCUCACCAAGGCAUCGACGGGUAGCUGGUCUGAGAUGAUGAUCAGCCACACUGGGACUGAGACACGGCCCAGACUCCUACGGGAGGCAGCAGUGGGGAAUCUUGCACAAUGGGCGAAAGCCUGAUGCAGCAACGCCGCGUGCGGGAAGAAGGCCCUAGGGUUGUAAACCGCUUUCAGUAGGGAAGAAAAUGACGGUACCUACAGAAGAAGGUGCGGCCAACUACGUGCCAGCCGCCGCAGUAAUAC